UUUUUUUUUUUUGCAAAGCUGAAAUCCUGACCAAUGACCACUUAAUUAUUAGAUUGGAAACCAUUUAUAAAGCUGAAGGUCGGACUCUGCCAACAAGUACUAAAACAUUUGAACUGUGUAAGUUCUGUGUAUGUGCCCACUUUGACUUAUUAUGUGGCUUUUAUUCUAUUCUAAAAGUUGUUCUGUGAUGUUUUGAAGGGUGGGGGUCCUGUCAGUGUGUUUUGAGCUGAGGAAGUGCAGCAUGCCAAGUAACCUUCCCGUUUUGUGAUAUACUUUCACAUAUAUAUUCAUACCUAGAUAUAACCACACACAUGCAUAAAAUAUUAGUUGCUACACUAUGAUCUGCCAGGAAAAUCUGAUUCUUCUCCUUCGUAUUCUGAUCGAUACUGGUGACUUCAGAAAACUGCCAUUAUCUCUUAAAAAGUCAUUGAUGUGGUUUUGAUUAAGUUUUUGGGAGCCAAGUUUGUUGAUUUCCGUGCCAUGCUUCUCUGCUUUUCCUUCCAACAGACCUGACAGGGGAACGAGCUGCUUCGCUGAUGUUACCACAAGGAAGUACAAAAUGUAAAAAACCUCGGUGCUCAGCAAUUAUUAACUUUUCCUCCCACAGGCUGUGCAUCAUAAAAUCCGAUUUUGCCUCUGCAGACCUGUUAGGAGACAAGAGGUUCGGAGCGCAGCUUUCAAACAGGGCAGCGGGCAGAUGUUUCAGUUUCCAACCUGAAGAACAGGUUCUGCGGAUGCAAAAGGAGCGAAACGUCUGCUCGGCAUUGUUGCCACCCUCCGAUUCCUUUUGCCUCCUCCCACUUUGAACUUGUUACCCUGGAGCUGAACUGUUUGAACAGGGGCUGUAAAGCUGCUUUGUGAUCAGAGAGCUCGGAGCCCUCUACAUGUGAAAGCGGGGCGGGAUUUCGCUCCAGACGCCGCAGGUCCCUCCCUCCCUGCUCCCGGUUUUGGCCCGGGUAUGAAGGUUGGACGCUCCGCGCACAGGAGCCGGGACAGCCCGUCUGCACUGCCCGGCCGGGACAGACAAAGGGUAGCCACAUGCAAGAAACACUGGGAAGAUACAUGGAAUGUUUGUAACUCCUGUUCUCCUGGGAAGGGCCCUGACAUCCAUCCUGUCAAGCCUGAGCUCCUUGGUUUCUUCUCCACACUGAUACUGCAAAUCCUGUUGUUCAAUGAGCAGAAUAUGUGUCAAAAGAAUUAAACCAGGACAGUCUCCUGAAUGUGGAAUUCCAGAGAAGGCACUCACUGGCACUUCCAAAGCAAGCAAAGCAGCAACAUCCUGAAAUUGUUGCUUUUCCUCGGAUAUUUUCAUUGCUUGACUGAAACUUUCUGCAGAUAUCUCUGCUGAAGUGCUUUGUUUGACUUGGAACAAGCACUGUUGCUAGGCUGCUCUGAAAGCUUGAGAUGGCUCUGACUUCUCCAA